rnacentral:rRNA from 1 species
UACAGAGGUGGCAAGCGUUUGUUCGGAAUUACUGGGCGUAAAGGGCGCGUAGGCGGCCUUCUAAGUCGGACGUGAAAGCCCCAGGCUUAACCUGGGAACUGCGUCCGAUACUGGGAGGCUUGGAUUCGGGAGAGGGAUGUGGAAUUCCAGGUGUAGCGGUGAAAUGCGUAGAUAUCUGGAGGAACACCGGUGGCGAAGGCGGCAUCCUGGACCGACAUCGACGCUGAGGCGCGAAAGCUAGGGGAGCAAACGGG